AAUAUUGCACAAUGGGCGCAAGCCUGAUGCAGCCAUGCCGCGUGUAUGAAGAAGGCCUUCGGGUUGUAAAGUACUUUCAGCAGUGAGGAAGGUGGGUAUGUUAAUAGCAUAUUCAUUUGACGUUAGCUGCAGAAGAAGCACCGGCUAACUCCGUGCCAGCAGCCGCGGUAAUACGGAGGGUGCGAGCGUUAAUCGGAAUUACUGGGCGUAAAGCGCAUGCAGGUGGUUUGUUAAGUCAGAUGUGAAAGCCCGGGGCUCAACCUCGGAAUUGCAUUUGAAACUGGCAAACUAGAGUACUGUAGAGGGGGUAGAAUUUCAGGUGUAGCGGUGAAAUGCGUAGAGAUCUGAAGGAAUACCGGUGGCGAAGGCGGCCCCCUGGACAGAUACUGACACUCAGAUGCGAAAGCGUGGGGAGCAAACAGGAUUAGCUACCCUGGUAG
rnacentral:rRNA from 1 species